UGGAGGCAGACUGAAACAUUCUCAACUAACGUGUGAAGAAAAGAACCCAGUAAUCCUACCCAAGGACAGCCACGUUUCCUUACUGCUCGUACGACAUCACCAUGAGCAGGUGAGACAUCAGGGUCGACAUCUCACAGAAGGUGCAGUAAGGGCAGCUGGACUGUGGAUUUGGGGUAGUAAGCGACUAAUCAAUUCAGUCCUACACAGAUGUGUAAUCUGCCGGAAGCUGCGUGGGAGACCGGAAGAACAACGUAUGGCUGACUUACCACCGGAACGUCUCAAGGUUUGCCCUCCCUUCACAUACGUUGGGCUUGACGUCUUUGGGCCUUGGUCUGUUGUAACCAGACGCACCAGAGGAGGACAGGCAGAGAGCAAACGGUGGGCCAUGAUGUUUAGUUGUUUGAGUUCAAGGGCCGUCCACAUUGAGCUGAUUGAGUCUAUGGACACAUCUAGCUGUAUAAACACUCUCAGGCGGUUCUUCGCUCUCAGAGGCCCUGCAAAAGAACUCCAGUCGGAUUGUGGGACCAACUUCAUUGGAGCUAGCAAGGAGUUGGAGAUGGACAAUACUGUACAGGGGUACCUCAGCAAGCAAGUAUGUAGCUGGAACUUCAGACCUCCACAUGCUUCCCACAUGGGAAGCUCAUGGGAACGGAUGAUUGUCUUGCCAGGAGAAUCCUUAAUUCAAUGCUCUUGCAUCAAAAGAGUCGCCUAACCCAUGAAGUGCUGUCAACACUAAUGGCAGAAAUUACAGCUAUCAUCAAUGCACGUCCACUCCUACCUGUGUCUACAGACCCACACCAACCUUUCAUUCUUUCACCGGCCAUGCUCCUCACACAGAAAUCAGGAGUUCCACCUCCUCCAGGAGAUUUCACAGAUAAGGACCUCUUCACAAAACAAUGGAGGCAGGUUCAAGCGCUCGCGAACCAGUUUUGGGCCCAUUGGAGCAAAGAAUACUUACCAUCCUUACAACAAAGGCAAAAAUGGACAGUGACACGCAGAAACCUUCAAGUUGGGGAUCUGGUCCUCCUCAGGGACAAGCAGACCAUCCGCAACUACUGGCCCAUGGCCAUAGUCACAGCAACAUUUCCUGGGAAGGAUGGACAUAUGAGAAAGGCUGAGGUAAAAACGACCGACCAAGGUGACAUAAGAACCUUCCUAAGGCCAGUUGCAGAAGUAGUUCUUCUUCUGCCUAAGGACUGAUUUAAGGACUGUUGUUUGGACUCAUUCAAGUUCAUAGUGGCCUCACAUAGGCCAGGCGGGGAGUGUGAUGCCUCAAAGGCAUUUAUGUCAUUUAUCUUCAAUGUUUGCUUUAAAAUAAUUCAUUUGUAUGUAUUUAAGUUAAAAAGAACAGUAAAAAGAGUUAAAAAUGGUAAGAAGAUUUAAUUUUGAAGGUGAACUUGCUAAUAACCUCACUUCCUGGUGGGUUACCUGUAUCGCUUCAUUUCCUGUUUACUUCCUCUUCCUGGUUGCUCUAAGAGGGAGAGUGACAUGCGGUCAUGCUCUGAGGCUUAUCCACAGCCAUCCACUUGGGAACAUUGUUCAGGCAACGCCUUACUGGCCCUCGUGUGGCUUCUAUUGGUUUAACUGGACUUUGAUACUGGCUGCCCUUUGGAUUAUCGCCUCAAUAAAGAUCUACUGUCUCAACCACAGAAGAA